ACUUAAAUAGCUUAUAUUAGAGCAUAACAUUGAAGAUGUUAGGGAAAUAUCAUUAUUUUUAAGUA
rnacentral:tRNA from 2 species